CGGAGGAAAAGAAACUAACAAGGAUUCCCCUAGUAACUGCGAGUGAAGCGGGAAAAGCUCAAAUUUAAAAUCUGGUGGUCUUUGAUCAUCCGAGUUGUAAUUUAGAGAAGCGUUUUCCGCACUGGACCGUGCACAAGUCUCCUGGAAUGGAGCGUCAUAGAGGGUGAGAAUCCCGUCUUUGGCACGGACACACCAGGGCUUUUGUGAUGCGCUCUCAAAGAGUCGAGUUGUUUGGGAAUGCAGCUCAAAAUGGGUGGUGAACUCCAUCUAAAGCUAAAUAUUGGCGAGAGACCGAUAGCGAACAAGUACCGUGAGGGAAAGAUGAAAAGCACUUUGGAAAGAGAGUGAAACAGUACGUGAAAUUGUUGAAAGGGAAACGCUUGAAGUCAGUCACGUUGGCCGAGACUCAGCCUUGCUUUGGCUUGGUGUACUUCUCGAUUAACGGGUCAGCAUCAAUUUUGCCCCUUAGAUAAUGGCAAGGGAAAUGUGACACCUUUAUAGGUGUGUUAUAGUCUCUUGUCGCAUGUGAGGGUUGGAAUUGAGGAACUCAGCACGCACCUUUGGGUGUCGGGGUUUUCGCCUACGAUACGUGCUUAGGAUGUUGGCGUAAUGGCUUUAAACGACCCGUCUUGAAACACGGACCAAGGAGUCUAACAUGCCCGCGAGUGUUCGGGUGGAAAACCCGUGCGCGCAAUGAAAGUGAAAGUUGGGACCUCUGUCGUGGAGGGCACCGAUGCCCGGACCAGACCUUCUGUGACGGCUCUGCGGUAGAGCGUGUAUGUUAGGACCCGAAAGAUGGUGAACUAUGCCUGAAUAGGGUGAAGCCAGAGGAAACUCUGGUGGAGGCUCGUAGCGAUUCUGACGUGCAAAUCGAUCGUCAAAUUUGGGUAUAGGGGCGAAAGACUAAUCGAACCAUCUAGUAGCUGGUUCCUGCCGAUUUU
rnacentral:rRNA from 1 species